CCACCUGUUUCCCCAUUUGGACGUCGCCUCGUCUGAUUUUUGUUUCUUUAAUGAUGCUCUACACGCGUUUGGUAGACUGUUCUCUUUUGGUAGGAGAUGUUUACAGCACAACUAUUUAGGGUUUAAAGCAGGGCUGCCCAACCCUGUUCCUGGAGCUCUUCCGUCCUGUAGCACGAGGUUAGCAACAACAAACAAGGGCUUAGGCAGAGAACAAGUAGAGAAAGAGGAGGAAAAACUGAUAGUGGAGUUGCCUGGCCUGAGAUCCUGAUAGACAAUUGAGUCUAUGUCCGUAGAGAUCAUAUUGAAACCGAAGGUCAGACAUAGUACACAGGGGUGUCCAGUCUUAUCCAAAAAGGCCGAGGUGGGUGCAGGUUUUUAUUUUCGCACUAUAACACCUAAUUGCCUAAUUUAUAUAAUCACUGUCUUCAAUCAAGACCUUUACGUAGAAUCAAGUGUCCUAGUGCUAGGCUAAAACAAAAAAACCUGCGCAUACGUUAGCCCGUUUCGGGUAAGAUUGGACACCCUAUAUGCAUUGUAGAGAUCUGGCUGUGAGGAUGAGCUAUUUU